UGGGGAAUAUUGCACAAUGGAGGGAACUCUGAUGCAGCGACGCCGCGUGAACGAAGAAGGCUUUCGAGUCGUAAAGUUCUUUUAUAUGGGAAGAUAAUGACGGUACCAUAAGAAAAAGCCCCGGCUAACUACGUGCCAGCAGCCGCGGUAAUACGUAGGGGGCUAGCGUUGUCCGGAAUCACUGGGCGUAAAGGGUUCGCAGGCGGAAAUGCAAGUCAGGUGUAAAAGGCAGUAGCUUAACUACUGUAAGCAUUUGAAACUGCAUAUCUUGAGAAGAGUAGAGGUAAGUGGAAUUUUUAGUGUAGCGGUGAAAUGCGUAGAUAUUAAAAAGAAUACCGGUGGCGAAGGCGACUUACUGGGCUCAUUCUGACGCUGAGUAACGAAAGCGUGGGUAGCAAACAGG
rnacentral:rRNA from 1 species